AUGGCUCUUCAACGGCUCAAAGGGAGAUACGGAUUCAGUGAUUCUCCAAUGAUUGAAGGGCUGAAGCCACUGAAGAUGAAAGUUGAAACAUUGAGAGAAUCAGAGAGAAUGAAGAUAGAACAUACUGAAGAUGGUGAGAAUUUGAUGAAGAUUGAUGAUUGCUGCUGCUUGAAGCAGGGGUUUCAGAGAGAUGAAGAUUGCAGCGUUGAUGUGAAGAUGAUGAGAAGUUUCUCUGAGAUGCGAAAUUGA